rnacentral:rRNA from 1 species
CGGAACGGGUGAGUAACGCGUGAAUAACCUGACUCAAAGAAGGGGGAGUAACAACGGGAAACUGUUGCUAAUACCGCAUGAGACCACAACACCGCAUGAUGAAGGGGUCAAAGAUUUAUCGCUUUGAGAGGGGUUCGCGUCCCAUUAGGUAGUUGGAGGGGUAACGGCCCACCAAGCCAACGAUGGGUAGCCGAGCUGAGAGGCUGAUCGGCCACACUGGAACUGAGACACGGUCCAG